rnacentral:rRNA from 1 species
CGGAGGUGCAAGCGUUAAUCGGAAUUACUGGCGUAAAGCGCACGCAGGCGGUCUGUCAAGUCGGAUGUGAAAUCCCCGGGCGUCAACCUGGGAACUGCAUUUCGAAACUAGGCAGGCUAGAGUCUUGUAGAGGGGGUAGGAAUUCCAGGUGUAGCGGUGAAAUGCGUAGAGAUCUGGAGGAAUACCGGUGGCGAAGGCGGCCCCUGGACAAAGACUGACGCUCAGGUGCGAAAGCGUGGGGAGCAAACAGGAUU